rnacentral:rRNA from 1 species
CGUAAACGAUGAGUGCUAAGUGUUGGAGGGUUUCCCCCUUCAGUGCUGCAGCUAACGCAUUAAGCACUCCGCCUGGGGAGUACGACCGCAAGGUUGAAACUCAAAGGAAUUGACGGGGGCCCGCACAAGCGGUGGAGCAUGUGGUUUAAUUCGAAGCAACGCGAAGAACCUUACCAGGUCUUGACAUCCUUUGACCACUCUAGAGAUAGAGCUUUCCCUUCGGGGAUAAAGUGACAGGUGGUGCAUGGUUGUCGUCAGCUCGUGUCGUGAGAUGUUGGGUUAAGUCCCGCAACGAGCGCAACCCUUAUUGUUAGUUGCCAUCAUUCAGUUGGGCACUCUAGCGAGACUGCCGGUGACAAACCGGAGGAAGGUGGGGAUGACGUCAAAUCAUCAUGCCCCUUAUGACCUGGGCUACACACGUGCUACAAUGGGAAGUACAACGAGUCGCUAGGCCGCGAGGUCAUGCAAAUCUCUUAAAGCUUCUCUCAGUUCGGAUUGCAGGCUGCAACUCGCCUGCAUGAAGCCGGAAUCGCUAGUAAUCGCGGAUCAGCACGCCGCGGUGAAUACGUUCCCGGGCCUUGUACACACCGCCCGUCACACCACGAAAGUUUGUAACACCCGAAGUCGGUGAGGUAACCUUUUGGAGCCAGCCGCCUAAGGUGGGAUAGAUGAUUGGGGUGAAGUCGUAACAAGGUAACCAAGGGCGAAUUCCAG